rnacentral:lncRNA from 1 species
CAAUUUUCCUGAGAGUAGAAGAGCUGUAGCAGUCUUAUCAAGGACUGGUGGCAUUACCUGGCAGGCAGGGGACAGGCUGCUGUUUCAACAUACAUACACAGCAGUAGAAACAAGUUUCGCAUUGUUUGGCUGAAUAUUUCUCUAUUAUUCUUUCCCCUGCAGCACAACACAGUUUGUAGCAAUUGAUUGACUUAGCUGGACAGUGAGAUAAAAAAUUACAAAUAAGACUGGCUGGAAGCUGUUCUGCUGCUGCGAUUAGAUGUAAAACAGCCACAGCCAGAGCUGUGUUUUGCCCGGGGUCAGAUCAACAGACCACAGAUUCUGGUUUUCUUUCUUUCUUUCUUUUUUUACAUGUUAAUUUUUACACCGUUUCAGGAGGGCUGUCGAUCAUCGUUCUGAAAAACCCUGCAAGUGAUGGACUGUGUCACUGUGAGCCGUGGAAUCGUCACUCCUUCCUCUUGGUUGGGGAGGCAUUGCAGAGUGGUGAUAAGCUGGGGUCAGAGCUGGUGGAGAUUGGAAACUAAAAAAGGACAUAAAUCUGGGAUGGGAUAGAAGUGGGGAAGGUGGAUCCUUGAAUAGAGAGCUGUCCAUUGACACAUCACUCAGUGGUCCCUCUUGCUGUUUUAAGCAGCACAAGCAAAAUCCUAUGGGCCACUCCAUAGCUGGGAAAGCUGCCGUUGAGAGCUGCCUGAAUAAGGGAUGAGCCUGGGCUGAUCUCCUCAGCAUAAUCCAGCCCUCCUGGAUGUGACUGAGGGAUGUGGAGGAGGCGAAAGACACUUGAAACAAGAUAGCUUAAAACCAUUUUGUAUCUAAUUUGCAGCAAAGUUUUCUUUCAUCAUUUCCCUCUCUUCCGCCCCAACCUCCCUAUUUGUCUUAUCAAAUCUUGGCAGAGAUAGCUGUGCGGAAUAGGGAGCUGCUGUUGGGAAGCAGUUUUUCCAGCGGGGUAAUAAAGCAGUCUUACUGCAAUGAAUUUUAAAGGCUGUUUUUGCUGCCUCAAGAAAUGCUGAUUUAUGACUUGAAUGAGUCAUGCUUUUUGCAAUUAGCAGGACACCGUCUAGAACUCACAGAGCAUCUUAGGCAGAAAUAGACAUUGUCUCUUCUUUUUUUUCUUCCCCUGUUAUUUUUCUAUUUUACUUUCAUUCAACCACCAAGUGAAAUACUCUCCAGGAAAAAAGAAGCUUUGGCAGCCAGGCUAGGACUACUCUCAAUUUUGCUUCGGAGUUGAUAACAUUAUCCAGUAUGGCUCUCCAGGAAAAGAUAAACUCAUGGGCAGAUGGUGCUGACCCAGUUGCUAUUGGGAAUUUGGUGAUGCAGAGCACAGAGGCAGCGAUGGGAUU